rnacentral:rRNA from 1 species
GAUGAACGCUGGCAGCGUGCCUAAUACAUGCAAGUCGAGCGAACGGACGAGAAGCUUGCUUCUCUGAUGUUAGCGGCGGACGGGUGAGUAACACGUGGAUAACCUACCUAUAAGACUGGGAUAACUUCGGGAAACCGGAGCUAAUACCGGAUAAUAUUUUGAACCGCAUGGUUCAAAAGUGAAAGACGGUCUUGCUGUCACUUAUAGAUGGAUCCGCGCUGCAUUAGCUAGUUGGUAAGGUAACGGCUUACCAAGGCAACGAUGCAUAGCCGACCUGAGAGGGUGAUCGGCCACACUGGAACUGAGACACGGUCCAGACUCCUACGGGAGGCAGCAGUAGGGAAUCUUCCGCAAUGGGCGAAAGCCUGACGGAGCAACGCCGCGUGAGUGAUGAAGGUCUUCGGAUCGUAAAACUCUGUUAUUAGGGAAGAACAUAUGUGUAAGUAACUGUGCACAUCUUGACGGUACCUAACCAGAAAGCCACGGCUAACUACGU